UACGUAGGUGGCAAGCGUUGUCCGGAAUUAUUGGGCGUAAAGCGCGCGCAGGCGGCCUCUUAAGUCUGAUGUGAAAGCCCCCGGCUCAACCGGGGAGGGCCAUUGGAAACUGGGAGGCUUGAGUAUAGGAGAGAAGAGUGGAAUUCCACGUGUAGCGGUGGAAAUGCGUAGAGAUGUGGAGGAACACCAGUGGCGAAGGCGACUCUUUGGCCUAUAACCGACGCUGAGGCGCGAAAGCGUGGGGAGCAAACAGG
rnacentral:rRNA from 1 species